GAUAUAACCCGGCUUGUGAUGCCCCCGCAGGAUCGCAGAUAUCGAUGGGUGCUAACCGGCAGGACGCCGGUUAAGCCUGCCCGCGGCCAUGGAUGGCCGCUGCAGGCGUGCCCCAAUCGGUAUCAAGAGACAAGGAUCAGGGCAUCACGCCGGAAAAGGGG
rfam:Oceanobacter sp. HI0075 HI0075_c18, whole genome shotgun sequence.